GACGAACGCUGGCGGCGUGCUUAACACAUGCAAGUCGAACGGAAAGGCCCUGCUUUUGUGGGGUGCUCGAGUGGCGAACGGGUGAGUAACACGUGAGUAACCUGCCCUUGACUUUGGGAUAACUUCAGGAAACUGGGGCUAAUACCGGAUAGGAGCUCCUGCUGCAUGGUGGGGGUUGGAAAGUUUCGGCGGUUGGGGAUGGACUCGCGGCUUAUCAGCUUGUUGGUGGGGUAGUGGCUUACCAAGGCUUUGACGGGUAGCCGGCCUGAGAGGGUGACCGGGCACCAUAGGACGGAGAAACGGCGCAGUCUCCUAGGGGAGGCAGCAGUGGGGAAUAUUGCAGAAUGGGCGGAAGCCUGAUGAAGCAACGCCGCGUGCGGGAUGACGGACUUCGGGUUGUAAACCGAUUUCGCCUGUGACGAAGCGUGAGUGACGGUAAUGAGUAAAGAAGCACCGGCUAACUACGUG
rnacentral:rRNA from 1 species